UUAAGGCCAUUAUUUUUAAUGAAACAAAGCACCAUUGUGUUCUACAUUUUCCAAACUCAAACUUUGAUUUUUACAUCACCUCAUUUGGAGUCUUGUAGCAUUAGUUAUGUUGGUUUGAAAAUGGAGGAAAUGGGCUGCGUUUUUCAUGUGUACUGAAUCCGGGUUCAUGAAGCCCCCUUGUUGUUCGCUUUUCUACAUGUUUAAGCCACUAUUUUU
rnacentral:lncRNA from 1 species